GCUUGCUUAUCUACUCAAUGAUUAUGAUUACAGUUAUUCUCUUGAUACAAUUUACGAUUUAUAUAUGUUUGAUCCAGCUAUUUUGUUGAAGAACUCAAGGGUGAUUAAAAAAGGGAGUCGAGCUGCAAAUGUUGCAAAUGAUGGAAGUUCCUGUUCCGUUAACUGGAGUUUCUAAAUGUGUAAGGAGAGAUGGUUUAGAGGAUAUUGCAGGCUAAUGAAUGUUUGGAGAGGAAGGCUAAAGCUAACGAGACCAAUGGAGACAACAAGCACAGAAGCGAGACAAGCCAAGCAUUUGAACAAGCUGGCAGGGAUCCAAGCUGCAUAUUGAGCAAGAGAAAUGAUAUCAACACUGAGAAGAAUAAGCAGUCCAAGUAUUUUCCUACUCUUAUCAUGAAUAAAUCGGUAUGAUUUGCCUAAAAAUUGAUUAUAUUUUGUUUUCUCCGACUUACACUAAUGUCCGUAGGUCAAUUGACAUUGUGAAACAUUUUUUUUUGCUUUUUUCCAAAUUUCCCAAAUGUAUUGUUAUACGCAUAGCAACCUAUUAUUUAUUUUCUUUCUAAAACUAAUCUGUGCUCCUGGUAACAAAUACCUGGUUAUUGGGUAAAUCACAACUCUUUUAAAAGAGAGGAUGUUGCAUUUACUUUUCAUUUGUGCGCCCUUGUGUUCACACCUAUCUAGCUUUGCACUGUUCAUUAUUCAGUUCCCAUAAAUCACUCCUAACCUUU